rnacentral:tRNA from 1 species
GCACGCGUAGCUCAGCCAGGUGGAGCGCCAAGUGUGAUGAACUUGGAGGUCACGGGUCCGAAUCCCGUCGCGUGCA